AUGGAGGAUGUCCAGCUGCUCGUCCUCCUCGGCCUCUUCUCCAAGCGUCCAUCCUAUCGCAACUCAGCUUCAGUUCCAGUAGAAAAUAACAAGUUGAGUAGACCGACUAGCUUUUUGCAAUUUAGACAUGCCUUUAUUCACAAAAAAGCAGGCAGUGUGGGUAAGUUUUCGACUCUAUGCAAUUCUCGGUGCAAGGGCCCCCGCUUCCUUGUUGUGACGUUGCAGCCUCACCGGCCCUUCUGCAGGCAAGAGUUAUGUCCAGAUGAGCUAACCCUUUACUAUCCAAACCUUCUGAAGGUCAUUAGCUCUGAUUCUUUGGAAAAAAGGUUGAGAGCUAUACACAACAACGCUAAAGAUGGAGCGGCCUGCCAUGUAUUAGGGCAUACACAUUUCUGUUGGGAUUAUGCGGUUGACAAUAUCAGGUAUGUACAAGCGCCUCUGGCAUACCCUCGAGAAAGAAAGCGAAGGAUAAAUGGAGGCCAAGGAUGGCUGCCGUUUUUUGUAUAUUGUGAUGGCUUCAACCCUGAAACAAGAAUAGAAGGGAGCCUGAGAACACUCAGCUUGCGCCAUGGUUAG
rnacentral:rRNA from 1 species